rnacentral:lncRNA from 1 species
UGUCCUCGCCCCUAUGGCUUGAUAUGGAUUGUCGGUUCAGAUUUUCGAGGUGUUUCUGCUGUUUGGGGUGAUGUAUUACUAUUGUUUAGCUACUUGACGUUGUGAAUUAAUUAUUUAUGAAUUCAAUUAAUUAAUUAUGUUGGAAUUAUCAUUGUUGAAUGAUAAUGGUAUUGCUUACAUGUUUCUGUAUAUGGUAUGAGAUACAUUCAGUGUUGUUUUGUGUUAUUAUAUGAUUAUAUGGUGAUUAAUUAUGUAUUUGUUGGUGUACAUUUU